rnacentral:tRNA from 1 species
AAAAAGAUAAGCUAAUAAAGCUAUUAGGUUCAUACCCUAAACAUAUAGGUUAUUCCUAUUCUUUUUA